rnacentral:rRNA from 1 species
CAAUAGCGUAUAUUAAAGUUGUUGCAGUUAAAAAGCUCGUAGUUGGAUUUCUGAUCGAGACAUCAGGUCGGGUCCGAGAGGAUCAUGUACUUUGAUUUUGUUUUGAUCAUCCUUGGGGAGAGCAUUUCUGGCAUUCAGUUGUCGGGAUUGGGAUCCUCAUCGUUUACUGUGAAAAAAUUAGAGUGUUCAAAGCAGGCCUCGGCCUCUGAAUACAUUAGUAUGGAAUAAUAAGAUAGGACUUUGGUGGUCUAUUUUGUUGGUUUGCACGCCAAAGUAAUGAUUAAUAGGGAUAGUUGGGGGUAUUCGUAUUCAAUUGUCAGAGGUGAAAUUCUUGGAUUUAUGGAAGACGAACUACUGCGAAAGCAUUUACCAAGGAUGUUUUCAUUAA